CUUUCUCGUAAAGUUAUUUAACUAACUCCUGUAGUUCUUUUCAGUUUAAUCUCUGAAAGUCCUCUACGGAGGACACAUUGAUUAUACUUAUUUUUCCAGCCCGCUUUAGGACCUCUGAGCUUGCUCAAGCCCUUCGGCACUGUGUCAUCGGUAUUACACUGCCUCCGAUCGACGCGAACUUUC
rnacentral:snRNA from 1 species